UACGGAGGAUCCAAGCGUUAUCCGGAUUUAUUGGGUUUAAAGGGUGCGUAGGUGGUUUUUUUAAGUCAGGGGGUGAAAGACGGCAGCUUAACUGUCGCAGUGCCUUUGAUACUGAAGAAUUUGAAUUAACUAGAGGUAGGCGGAAUGUGACAAGUAGCGGUGAAAUGCAUAGAUAUGUCACAGAACACCGAUUGCGAAGGCAGCUCACUAAAGUGUAACUGACGCUGAGGCACGAAAAGCGUGGGGGAUCAAAACAGG
rnacentral:rRNA from 1 species